GCUGGGCAUGGUGGCGCACGCCUGUAAUCCCAGCAACUCAGGAGACUGAGGCAGGAGGAUCGCAAGUUCAAAGCCAGCCUCAG
rnacentral:sRNA from 1 species